rnacentral:tRNA from 1 species
CGGAGCGUGGCGCAGCUUGGUAGCGCGCUUGGUUCGGGACCAAGAGGUCGCUGGUUCAAAUCCAGUCGCUCCGCCCA